rnacentral:tRNA from 1 species
GUACCCGUAGCUCAGCUGGAUAGAGCGCAAGACUCCGACUCUUGAGGCCGAAGGUUCAAAUCCUUUCGGGUACACCA